rnacentral:rRNA from 1 species
GAUGAACGCUGGCGGCGUGCCUAAUACAUGCAAGUCGAGCGAACAGAUAAGGAGCUUGCUCCUUUGACGUUAGCGGCGGACGGGUGAGUAACACGUGGGUAACCUACCUAUAAGACUGGGAUAACUUCGGGAAACCGGAGCUAAUACCGGAUAAUAUUUCGAACCGCAUGGUUCGAUAGUGAAAGAUGGUUUUGCUAUCACUUAUAGAUGGACCCGCGCCGUAUUAGCUAGUUGGUAAGGUAACGGCUUACCAAGGCGACGAUACGUAGCCGACCUGAGAGGGUGAUCGGCCACACUGGAACUGAGACACGGUCCAGACUCCUACGGGAGGCAGCAGUAGGGAAUCUUCCGCAAUGGGCGAAAGCCUGACGGAGCAACGCCGCGUGAGUGAUGAAGGUCUUCGGAUCGUAAAACUCUGUUAUUAGGGAAGAACAUACGUGUAAGUAACUGUGCACGUCUUGACGGUACCUAAUCAGAAAGCCACGGCUAACUAUGUG